CAUGCAAGUCGAGGGGCAGCAUUUCAGUUUGCUUGCAAACUGGAGAUGGCGACCGGCGCACGGGUGAGUAACACGUAUCCAACCUGCCGAUAACUCGGGGAUAGCCUUUCGAAAGAAAGAUUAAUACCCGAUGGNAUAAUCAGACCGCAUGGUCUNAUUAUUAAAGAAUUUCGGUUAUCGAUGGGGAUGCGUUCCAUUAGGCAGUUGGUGAGGUAACGGCUCACCAAACCUUCGAUGGAUAGGGGUUCUGAGAGGAAGGUCCCCCACAUUGGAACUGAGACACGGUCCAAACUCCUACGGGAGGCAGCAGUGAGGAAUAUUGGUCAAUGGGCGCAGGCCUGAACCAGCCAAGUAGCGUGAAGGAUGACUGCCCUAUGGGUUGUAAACUUCUUUUAUAUGGGAAUAAAGUUUUCCACGUGUGGAAUUUUGUAUGUACCAUAUGAAUAAGGAUCGGCUAACUCCGUGCCAGCAGCCGCGGUAAUACGGAGGAUCCGAGCGUUAUCCGGAUUUAUUGGGUUUAAAGGGAGCGUAGGUGGACAGUUAAGUCAGUUGUGAAAGUUUGCGGCUCAACCGUAAAAUUGCAGUUGAUACUGGCUGUCUUGAGUACAGUAGAGGUGGGCGGAAUUCGUGGUGUAGCGGUGAAAUGCUUAGAUAUCACGAAGAACUCCGAUUGCGAAGGCAGCUCACUGGACUGCAACUGACACUGAUGCUCGAAAGUGUGGGUAUCAAACAGGAUUAGAUACCCUGGUAGUCCACACAGUAAACGAUGAAUACUCGCUGUUUGCGAUAUACAGUAAGCGGCCAAGCGAAAGCAUUAAGUAUUCCACCUGGGGAGUACGCCGGCAACGGUGAAACUCAAAGGAAUUGACGGGGGCCCGCACAAGCGGAGGAACAUGUGGUUUAAUUCGAUGAUACGCGAGGAACCUUACCCGGGCUUAAAUUGCAUUUGAAUANUNUGGAAACAGNNUAGCCGCAAGGCAAAUGUGAAGGUGCUGCAUGGUUGUCGUCAGCUCGUGCCGUGAGGUGUCGGCUUAAGUGCCAUAACGAGCGCAACCCUUAUCUUUAGUUACUAACAGGUCAUGCUGAGGACUCUAGAGAGACUGCCGUCGUAAGAUGUGAGGAAGGUGGGGAUGACGUCAAAUCAGCACGGCCCUUACGUCCGGGGCUACACACGUGUUACAAUGGGGGGUACAGAAGGCAGCUACCUGGUGACAGGAUGCUAAUCCCAAAAGCCUCUCUCAGUUCGGAUCGAAGUCUGCAACCCGACUUCGUGAAGCUGGAUUCGCUAGUAAUCGCGCAUCAGCCAUGGCGCGGUGAAUACGUUCCCGGGCCUUGUACACACCGCCCGUCAAGCCAUGAAAGCCGGGGGUACCUGAAGUACGUAACCGCAAGGAG
rnacentral:rRNA from 1 species